AAGUUCCAAUUUUUAGAAACUUAUCUGUAGUCUUAAUUCACUUUUUUGAGUGACCAUCUCACAGGUACACACUGUUUCCUUACAUUUUUGUACAACUGUACGUACUUAUUGAUAUUUAUUCACUUCUACAACGCUUUAGGUCAGGUUUGAGAAAAAAUUUCACCUGGAUCAGCAUAAAAAGACAUCUCAGCGCCAAAACGACGUAACCAAGGCAUGGUUAAAAGCGCCACAGCAACCAUUGAUCUCAUUUUCGAAGCAUAUGGACGACAAAAAUGAGUUCAAUGAAGAUCUUUGCGAGGCUUUAAUAAAAGCAAACACCCCCUUGAAUAAGCUGGAGAAUGAAGGAUUAAGGACCUCCUUGAAAAAAUACACGGGAAAAGAUAUUCCUCGACGAGUCAACGCUCAGAAAGAACUAUGUGAACCCAUUGUAUGAAAAGUUUCUCUAUUACUGACACUGGAGAAUAGUAGGAAAGGCAUUGUCGAUGCUCCAGUCGGGCUAUCCGUUGACGAAACCACUGAUUGUCGCGGUCGGCAUAUGGUGCACGUCAUAGUUGGAAAACUGUCUGCUGACGAGGCUGGACGAGGUACCUCAUACUGUGCAAAGAAGUGGAACGAACGCCACACGCCACGAUUGCACGCACAGUGCAGGAAGCAUUGUGCAUGCUGUGGAGAAGUGAAGAUCAGAAACGUGGGAAGAACAAGGUUUUGGCCAUUGUGAAGGAUAGUGCCGCAUAUAUGGCGAAGGCCACAGAGUGUCUCCGGGUGUUUUACCCUAAAAUUAUUCACCUCACGUAUCUGGCUCAUGGCAUCCAUCGAGUCGCUGAAGAGGUCAGAGCCACAUUGCCAGAGGUCAACAGCCUUAGAUCUUCGGCAAAGAAGGUUCUCAUCAAGGCACCAAGUCGAGUGAGAGCUUUCAAGACUGCUCACCCUGACUGCCACCUAAACCAGUCUUGACGAGGUCGGGAACGUGGAUUUCAGCUGCAAACUAUUAUGCAGACAACGACAGAAAAGUUCAAGAGGUCCCAAGGACGCCUUGAAGAUUUACAGCCUGCUACACAGCCUAUCAUUCAUCCGAGCCCACUUGGGUGGCCUUCCAGACCUAAUUGAGAAACUUCAGACUCGUAACAUGGAAGUUACGAAGGCAGUGGCUCUCAAUGAAAAAUUCAGGACACAGAGCCAGAAUUGGCCAGGUCCGAUCGGUGAGAGACUUAGAAGAAAAUUGGAUGCAGUUCCUCAUAGAAAUCCUGGUUGGUCUACGAUUCAGAAGAUCGCUCAAUUACUGGAAGAAGAGAAACGCUCCGAGAAUGUAGAUGAUUUCACGUCGUCUAAUGUCGGUGCUCUUAAAUUUUUACCUGUAGUGUCAUGUGAUGUUGAACGAUCAUUUUCAAGAUUGAAAAUGUUAUUAUCUGGUCACAGGAAAAAUUUUAAU